UAAAAUUUAUAAAAUUAGGUAGUAAAGAAAUUUCUGAAACCUAAAGAAUUUGGCGGUAUUUUAAAUAAUUGGAGGAACCUGUUAUUUAAUUGACAACCCACAACAUAUCUUACCUAAAUUUUAUUUGUAUAUCGUCGUUUUGAUAAUAUUUAAAAAUAAUAAUCAAUUUUAAUAAAUUUUUUAAAUUCAGAUCAAGGUGCAGUAUAUUUAGGUUAUAAUGGGUUACAAUAUAUUUAUAUAUAUAACGGAUAUAAAAUUAGAAUUAUAUUGAAGGUGGAUUCAAAAGUAAAAUUAAACUAAAAAGUUAAUUUGAUUAAUAAUUUAAAAUAUGC
rnacentral:rRNA from 1 species